GUGCUUGCUUUGGCAGCACAUGUACUAAGAUUGGACUGAUACAGAGAAGAUUAACAUGGCCCCUGUGCAAGGAUGACAUGCAAAUUCAUGAAAUGUUCCAUAUUUUU